UACGGGGGGGGGCAAGCGUUACUCGGAAUUACUGGGCGUAAAGCGUGCGUAGGUGGUCGUUUAAGUCUGUUGUGAAAGCCCUGGGCUCAACCUGGGAACUGCAGUGGAAACUGGACGACUAGAGUGUGGUAGAGGGUAGCGGAAUUCCCGGUGUAGCAGUGAAAUGCGUAGAGAUCGGGAGGAACAUCCAUGGCGAAGGCAGCUACCUGGACCAACACUGACACUGAGGCACGAAAGCGUGGGGAGCAAACAGG
rnacentral:rRNA from 1 species